UAAGCCUUCUGCCUGCUGAAGAGAAAAAAGAAGUCUACCAAAAGAUUGCUCUCAAACUUCCUUUGUCAAACUCAGUAGGAAAACAUAUUGAUUUUUGUUGUCAUUUAAAAAGAGGAGAUGAUGAACAUGGUAGCAGCCCUGCUUAUGAAUAUGUGAAAUUCAUCCUGAGUGUAAAAGAUGUUUCUAGUGAGCCCUCGGUGCUCUUCCGUAGCUUCUUCCCCAGCCAGUCCUGUGAGUCGUCUGCCACAAAUGUUUCUUUGGAGAAUCGGUUUU